GCCCGCUCAGAAACUUAAAGGAAUUGACGGGGGCCCGCACAAGCGGUGGAGUAUGUGGUUUAAUUCGAUGCAACGCGAAGAACCUUACCUGGUCUUGACAUCCCGGAGACCCUUAGGAAACUAGGGGGUGCUUCCAUCUGGAAGAAUCUGGAGACAGGUGCUGCAUGGCUGUCGUCAGCUCGUGUCGUGAGAUGUUGGGUUAAGUCCCGCAACGAGCGCAACCCUUGCCUUUAGUUGCCAGCAGUUCGGCUGGGCACUCUAAAGGGACUGCCGGUGUUAAACCGGAGGAAGGUGGGGAUGACGUCAAGUCCUCAUGGCCCUUACGGCCUGGGCUACACACGUGCUACAAUGGUCGGUACAAAGGGUUGCCAAGCCGCGAGGUGGAGCUAAUCCCAUAAAACCGAUCGUAGUCCGGAUCGCAGUCUGCAACUCGACUGCGUGAAGUCGGAAUCGCUAGUAAUCGUGAAUCAGAAUGUCAUGGUGAAUACGUUCCCGGGCCUU
rnacentral:rRNA from 1 species